UACGUAGGGUGCAAGCGUUGUCCGGAAUUAUUGGGCGUAAAGAGCUCGUAGGCGGUCUGUCGCGUCGGCUGUGAAAACCCGGAGCUCAACUCCGGGCCUGCAGUCGAUACGGGCAGACUGGAGUUCGGCAGGGGGAGACUGGAAUUCCUGGUGUAGCGGUGAAAUGCGCAGAUAUCAGGAGGAACACCGGUGGCGAAGGCGGGUCUCUGGGCCGAUACUGACGCUGAGGAGCGAAAGCGUGGGGAGCGAACAGG
rnacentral:rRNA from 1 species